UCAUUUUUGUUUUCCAACAGAUAAUGAUGGUUGCAGGGCCCCUCUUCAAUGGAGGCAUUGCCAGCCUUCUGGCCAUGAAGGAGAAAGUGAUUUCAACUAACCCAGGAAACUCUUACCUCUAAAUGGAGAUACUUCCUGAUAACAGAAGAAACUGGGCAUCUAACCCAGAAAUACCAGCUGAGUAGGAGAAGAGAAAAGGCAUCAGCCAGUCAAGGUUUCAGAAGGCUGCCAACAAGAUACAUUCCUUCAGUGUUAAUGGAUAAUUUUGCAUAGAGGUGUGUAUGCCUACUAUGUAUUCUAUGCCUAUUUGUUAUUGCUGCUAAGAAGAAAAAAAUCCAUGUAAGUUAGUGUACUCAUGAAAUACAGAGGAAACAAAAGAAAAGGUGUGAAAAGCUAAUGAAGAGCAAGUGGUCAGUUCUGGUGCGGUUUGAUGGAGUGGAGAAAGCCACCCACCAGAUCCCUUCCAGACUGGCAGUCUUGAAGUACAGACAGACACAAGCUGCUAUGGUAAUUCAAAAGAAGAACUGACUAAAUACAGCGUGGUCAAGAAAGACAAAUAGAUGAGGUGGGGACUUCAGCUGGGUCUCUCACAGGAUGUCCAGGACAUGGUAUUGGUGAGGGGAGGUGGGAAGAGUGUCCCAAAUAUGGAAGAGGGAAGGAACUGUGGAGGAGCGGUCAAAAUGGAUGCUGAUGUUUGCAAAUAACAAAAGGGAUGAAUAAAUGACAGGCUUCUACAAGUAAACAGUCUAUGUAACUGUUACUAAUUCAAGGUGCUGGAUCUGAUCCCCCACCUAGUAUGUCCCCUGAACGAAUGACUUCAAGGCCACGUAGUUGUCCCUGAGUUUUCCACAUGCCAACCUCCUCCUCCCUAGGCCUGAGAUGUGUUGCAAGUGCUGCUCCUUCUGCCCAGACCCCCUGCUUCCCUAUUCUCAGCAAACCCUUCUUCCUUGACAUAACAAAUUAGCAUGACCUGCAAAUCCUUCAAUGUGACCACAGAUAGAGAGGCCUCCACCCCAAAUUCCUAAAAUAAGUACUCUUCCCAACUUCCGCCCGAGUUUCUAUAGUGGUACCUUACCUGUUUCUUUCACAGCACAUAUUAGCCACCUGUUUAAUUAGCAUGAUUUGAGUGUUGUACCCAUGAAGUCGGACAGAAUCAGAACUGGGAACACAGAGUUUAAUCUGAUGUCAUUUAUCAGAUUUGUAGCCCUGCCACUCAAGAAGAGACAAGGCUUAAAUAGUUGAAUCCAGUCCAGUGGUGAAAUAGCAUGGGUAAAGGUUACAGAUUCAAAUACAAGCUGAGAACUAGGUAAUGUGUAAACUGAAUCUACUCCACUUGGAAGGCACGGACUCAGACGCUUGUACACAGUGACUAUUAGUGGGACUCUACUGGUUUUUUUCUUGUUAUUGAGGAAAGCCUAAGGCCAGAUCACAAGUCCUCAACAAGCCUGGCUGAUAUACAGACUUGGCCAGCCAAGAAAAUAACCCUAAAUUUUCAUGGAAAGAGAACCCAGGUUUCCUGAGAUGGAAAAAAUUCGGGGGGAUGGGGACAGGGGGUAUAUUUUUAUCUUCAUUAAUAUUCAGAAUUAAAUAUAAUCAAACAUUAUUUUUUCGGUUAGGAUGAGAGAAUCAUAUAUUGGGUAUUUUUAAAUACUUGAAAUGUUUACAGGAAUUUCAUAUAUUAGAAUAGCUUCAUGUCCAGUUUAAAAUGGUAACUGAGUUUAGGGUUGUGGUCUUAAGAAGGGGUAAGAGAAUUUUAUUAAGUUUAUGUACAUGGUACAAGGCUAUUAAGAGAUCAUUUGAGCCACAAUUUAUAAAUUUAAUUUUCUGGUUUUACAAGAGUUAGUUAAGUACUUGGGAAGAUUUGUCAGACAGCAGAAGUUCUUAAAAAGAGAAAUAAAAUAUAUUGAAGUUUUAAAGACCAAACUAUUUAAAGAAAUGUAAUUAAGCUAUGAGUCCCUUCAAAGGUGAUUGUUAAAUUUUGCUAGAUUUAUACACAGAAAGAUAAAGCUUAUACAAUUAACUUAAAAGCCUGAGGGAAAGCCGGGCAUUUGGAUGUACAACUCUAACACACUGAACACGUUUUUUUAAAAUAGCACUUGAAUAAUGCCUCCUGAAUAAAAACUGUCCUCCAAGGUCCCAAAUCCUACACAGAUAGACAGUUUCUUUUUGAAGGCCUGUCUUUCCAUGAGAACACUAGCUCUCUGAGGGUGAGAGGAACCCGGUCUUGUCUCACAGUCCCCAGGCCAGGGGCCAAUGUUUACAGAAUAACCAGCUAACACUGUUCUGAUGCACUUAUCACACUGUGUUUUGAUGAUCAGUUGCCAUGGCUAUAGGUCCUUUCAACCUUAGUACUGGAGCUUGGUGUGCCACAAAGUGAGGAUUUGGAAAAUGCUAUGACUGACUGACGGGAAGAACAGGCUGAGAAGUUCUAAGUCUGGAUGACUGAUAACAAAAAAGGAAGUCGGCGGGGGAAGCCCGGAGUUAGGUUUGGGGACAGGACAUGUUGAGUUUGUUACGUGUGCAGUGUCAGAUGGACUGCAUUAUAUAGAUCUGUAGCUGAUUACAUGAACUUAACACAAAAUAGAGGGGCACGCAGACAAAGGAGAAAGCUGGAUCAAUUUUUAAACAUGAAUUCUGGAAGAAAACAUUACUUACAUAUAUGUGUAUAUAGUCCCUCACCAGGUCUUACAGAACAUAAGUGUUCAAAAAAGUUUUUUUAACUUAAUAAGAAUGACAUUAAAUAUUUCAUAUUCUGGGUAAGUGACGAGAUGCUGUAUCUGGAUUUGUAGUAUGUUCACCUGGUAUUAAUGGUAAUGAAAAACAAUUUUAUUUUCCUAAAAGUAAGGUCUCAGAUAAAAUGCUAACGUCACCAAAAUGUACAGAGCUCUUUCAGCAUACAUUUUUCCAAAAUUUAAAAUGUGCACAUUUUAAAUAACACCAUAUAACACACAUGACCUAAAGGGAGUAAUUCUUUUUAGAAUUAUAUUUUAUUUAUAAAAAUCAAAUCUUUUAUGGAGGGUUCACACAAAAAUAAAUAUUUAUUUACUUUUAGGAGAAAUAUCCCUUGAUUAGAAGUCAGGCACAGGGCUGGGCAUGGUGGCUCACGCCUUUAAUCCCAGCACUUUGGGAGGCCGAGGUGGGUGGAUC
rnacentral:lncRNA from 1 species